GGCGGCGCGAGGCGAGGCGAGGCGAGGCGCGCGUUUGCACCGGGAGCCGUUCAGAGUCGAGGCGCGGGAGCUCGGGAGCAGAGUCGGAUCCUUAGCCCGCCCCGCCCCGCGCCCGGAUGAGGAGCGAUGCUGCUCGGUCUGGCCGCCCCUCGCGUGCACCGCGCGGGAGACAAAGCCCGCGCGCCCCGCUCAUGGUGAGCCUCAAAGCAGGAGCCCCGAGUCAGCCUCUCAUCUGACACCUGCCACCUGCCACGUCCGGACUGCCCCCUGCCCGGACUUGUGACCGCGCUGCCUCUCUCAGGGGCAGCGGAAUGAAAGAAGGCAUGUCCAGUAACAGCACCACGAGCAUCUCCCAGGCCA